CAGAAUGCUGGCCUGAUCUGUACUUUGAGUGGAAGUAAAGAACCAUCUUUCACCCCAACAGUGUCUACCAGGAAGUUUCAUUGAGCAGGGGCUGGGCACAGUGAUUGGUUCCCACAGCUUGGUGCAUGUUCAUGGUCAUCAGGUUGUUUGUUCUCCAGCCUGCUGAGCUGCUGCCAGAUUCUCGUCAAAUGUGAAUUGUGUCCAGUCUGCUCAGUGGUAAAUCAGAAUGUCACCACUUGACCUUGGCAGAGUUACCUGGUAAUGAGGAUGAAAGGUGUAUGGAACAAUUUGUGUCUGAGUCACUGAGUUUCCCUUCAGCAGCAUGAAUGUGUCAUCUGUUUUGUCAUGGCUCAUCUUGAGCAAUAGAAGCCACAGUUGUCGCAGAGGGGAAUGGGAAGUGCAGCAGCUUGCAGGU